rnacentral:rRNA from 1 species
GAUGAACGCUGGCGGCGUGCUUAACACAUGCAAGUCGAACGGAAAGGCCCAAGCUUGCUUGGGUACUCGAGUGGCGAACGGGUGAGUAACACGUGGGUGAUCUGCCCUUCACUUCGGGAUAAGCCUGGGAAACUGGGUCUAAUACCGGAUAGGACCACGUCUUGGAUGUUGUGGUGGAAAGUGUUUUCGGUGUGGGAUGAGCUCGCGGCCUAUCAGCUUGUUGGUGGGGUAAUGGCCUACCAAGGCGUCGACGGGUAGCCGGCCUGAGAGGGUGUACGGCCACAUUGGGACUGAGAUACGGCCCAGGCUCCUACGGGGGGCAGCAGUGGGGAAUAUUGCACAAUGGGCGCCAGCCUGAUGCAGCGACGCCGCGUGGGGGAUGACGGCCUUCGGGUUGUAAACUCCUUUCGCUAGGGACGAAGCGUUUUUGUGACGGUACCUGGAGAAGAAGCACCGGCUAACUACGUG